UACGGAGGAUGCAAGCGUUAUCCGGAAUUAUUGGGCGUAAAGCGUCCGCAGGUGGUUAUCCAAGUCUGCUGUUAAAGCGCGAGGCUUAACUUCGUACAGGCAGUGGAAACUGGGUGACUGGAGUAUGGUGAGGGUAGCGGGAAUUCCCAGUGGUAGCGGUGAAAUGACGUAGAUAUUGGGAAGAACACCAGCGGCGAAAGCGCGUGACUGGGCCGGAACUGACACUCAUGGACGAAAGCUAGGGGAGCGAAAGGG
rnacentral:rRNA from 1 species